GAUCUGUGCUAAGAGCUUUCAUUUCAUCAUAAUAUAAAACAGCAGAUCCGUCACCUUUCUCUAUUCAGUACUCUUGAUUUCGAGGUUGAAGUGAAAAUUAGAAGCUGUUCUUUCUGGCUCACAGACUGGGUUGCAUUUGCUUAGUCUUAUUCCAUGCCAGUAGGAUGGAAAGAGGUCAGUAACACUGGAAUCUGACUGAUCGUUCCUACCUACCGGAGUAUUGUACACAAACACAAAGCACCUUCAAAAUGGACUACUUUUUGGAUGUUGAGUCUGCUCACAGACUGUUUUACAGUCAAGGAGCCCAAGCUCGUCGGGCAACUCUUCUCACUGUGCCCACUCUGGUGACAGCAACUUCUGAGGAUGACAUAGACCGGAGACCCAUCAGAAGACUUCGGUCUAAGAGUGACACCCCUUACUUGGAAGAAGCACGGAUCUGCUUCAACCUUG